CCCCUAGAUGUUCUGGGCCGCACGCGCGCUACACUGAACAGUUCAACAAGUCUUAACCUUGGCCGAUAGGUCUGGGUAAUCUUUGAACGCUGUUCGUGAUUGGGAUAGACCUUUGCAAUUAUGGGUCUUCAACGAGGAAUUCCUAGUAAACGCAAGUCAUCAGCUUGCAUUGAUUACGUCCCUGCCCUUUGUACACACCGCCCGUCGCACCUACCGAUUGAAUGGUCCGGUGAAAUCUCGGGACGGCGGCUUGGUCGCUUGCGUCCGACCGCUGAAACUUGAUUAAACCAUAUCAUUUAGAGGAAGGUGAAGUCGUAACA
rnacentral:rRNA from 1 species